rnacentral:rRNA from 1 species
GAUGAACGCUAGCUACAGGCUUAACACAUGCAAGUCGAGGGGAAACGGCAUUGAGUGCUUGCACUCUUUGGACGUCGACCGGCGCACGGGUGAGUAACGCGUAUCCAACCUUCCCAUUACUGUGGGAUAACCUGCCGAAAGGCAGACUAAUAUCGCAUAGUCUUCGAUGACGGCAUCAGAUUUGAAGUAAAGAUUUAUCGGUAAUGGAUGGGGAUGCGUCUGAUUAGCUUGUUGGCGGGGUAACGGCCCACCAAGGCGACGAUCAGUAGGGGUUCUGAGAGGAAGGUCCCCCACAUUGGAACUGAGACACGGUCCAAACUCCUACGGGAGGCAGCAGUGAGGAAUAUUGGUCAAUGGGCGAGAGCCUGAACCAGCCAAGUAGCGUGCAGGAUGACGGCCCUAUGGGUUGUAAACUGCUUUUGUAUGGGGAUAAAGUCAGUCACGUGUGAUUGUUUGCAGGUACCAUACGAAUAAGGACCGGCUAAUUCCGUGCCGGCAGCCGCGGUAAUACGGAAGGUCCAGGCGUUAUCCGGAUUUAUUGGGUUUAAAGGGAGCGUAGGCCGGAGAUUAAGUGUGUUGUGAAAUGUAGACGCUCAACGUCUGACUUGCAGCGCAUACUGGUUUCCUUGAGUACGCACAACGUUGGCGGAAUUCGUCGUGUAGCGGUGAAAUGCUUAGAUAUGACGAAGAACUCCGAUUGCGAAGGCAGCUGACGGGAGCGCAACUGACGCUUAAGCUCGAAGGUGCGGGUAUCAAACAGG